GGGCGUGUAGCUCAGCGGGAGAGCACUACGUUGACAUCGUAGGGGUCACUGGUUCAAUCCCAGUCACGCCCACCA
rnacentral:tRNA from 17 species